rnacentral:rRNA from 1 species
UACGUAGGGGCCGAGCGUUGUCCGGAAUCAUUGGGCGUAAAGAGCGUGUAGGCGGCUCGGUAAGUCCGCUGUGAAAGUCCAGGGCUCAACCCUGGAAUGCCGGUGGAAACUGUCGAGCUAGAGUCCGGAAGAGGCGAGUGGAAUUCCUGGUGUAGCGGUGAAAUGCGCAGAUAUCAGGAGGAACACCAAUGGCGAAGGCAGCUCGCUGGGACGUGACUGACGCUGAGACGCGAAAGCGUGGGGAGCAAACAGG